UACAGAGGUCCCAAGCGUUGUUCGGAUUCACUGGGCGUAAAGGGUGCGUAGGCGGUCGGAUAAGUCUGAUGUGAAACCUUCGAGCUCAACUCGGAAACUGCAUCGGAAACUAUUUGGCUAGAGGAUUGGAGGGGAGACUGGAAUUCUCGGUGUAGCAGUGAAAUGCGUAGAUAUCGAGAGGAACACCAGUGGCGAAGGCGAGUCUCUGGACAAUUCCUGACGCUGAGGCACGAAAGCUAGGGGAGCAAACAGG
rnacentral:rRNA from 1 species